rnacentral:rRNA from 1 species
AGAAUCAACGCUGGCGGCGUGCCUAACACAUGCAAGUCGAACGAGAAAGUGGAGCAAUCCAUGAGUAAAGUGGCGACCGGGUGAGUAACACGUGACUAACCUACCUUCGAGUGGGGGAUAACCUCGGGAAACCGGGCUAAUACCGCAUAACAUCUUUGGAGUGGAAAUUCUGGAGAUCAAAGGAGCAAUUCGCUGGAAGAGGGGGUCGCGGCUGAUUAGCUAGUUGGCGGGUAACGCCCACAAGGCUUAGAUCGGUA